ensembl:lncRNA
GUGACAUGCCAGACAUUCUUUCUGAAAGUUGACCAAGGUAAUGAUGGAACUCAAGGCAAAAAAUCAACAUGUCACUUGUAAUUCUAUUUGGGGCUUUGUGCUGGAGAGAUGACAGUUCUGUGAACUGAUUUAAACAGCAUUGUAAAAAGUCCCUUGGGUAAUGACUGAACUGUAAAUACAACAAUGGACAGAGGGGACUUCCAGGACCUCCGCCUUGCCAGCCUCACCUGGUGUCCUGGUACCUUCCCAACGCUGUGGCUGGAGCACCUCUGUAGGGCAUUAACCCCACUGACACCAGGAGUUAUACUCUGAAAGAAUGUGGCACUUCCGAGGAAGAUGAGACAAAAAUGCAAGGGCUGACUUCCUAGAACCAAAAUCUUAAGGACUGUCAGGCGUUGGACAUGGAGCAUGGCACUGUCUGUCUCCAAUCUGCACCAGCUACUAGGAAGAAAAACUUAAGAUAUACGACAUGUCUAGGAACUAGAAUGUUAGCGACAACUGGACACUGAAUUUUGAGAGAGAAGAAUCUUUAUAUUAUUUGUUUGAAUACUGGACUGAAUAGAAGAUAAUCAGGACUGGGAUGAGAAAAUUGGAAUUUCUUUUCUACUAAUUUUUUUGUGCUGCAGAUUUUAGAGCACGUACAAGCCAGUUUGGAGCAUCCUGCCUGCCUCUGCUGUUCUUCAGUGCUAUAUUCAGACUCUGGUUAUACCUGAACAUCUAGUUCAUACUCCAUGUUCUGUACAAAGCCAUCCAGUCAGCCCAUGUUGGUCUUGAUCACAUGCAUAAAUUGAAUUUUUACACCCUUUGACAAUAAUGUAUAUAGCAUACAUUAGCAAACAUGUAGACAUGUUUGUUGUUAUCCAUAAAAUAGUUAUUUAGUCAGUGAAUAGGUACUUACUAGAAGAUUUACAGGCCUUGUUGAUGGGAAAGAGAAAUACUUUGGCUAGAUUGGGUUAUAAAUUCUAGUAAUAUUUAUAUCUCUAGCAAGAACCAACCUCUCCUUUUUUUUUUCUUUUUUCUUUUGGCAAUACUGGAGAUUAAAUCCAGGGCUUUCACACUGAGCUAUAUCCCUAGCCCUUUUAUCAUUCUGAGGCAGGGUCUUUCUCUAAGUCACUGAGUUGCCCAGUGGGACUUGAAUUUGUGAUCCUUCUGCCUCAGCCUCACAGAAUGCUGGAUUACAGUCAUGGGCUGUCAUAGUAGGUUCCAAAGUACCCUCUUUGAUACCUACCUCCCUGAAUUAUUGCCACCAUCCUCUGUAGGGAAGAGACAGAGUAGAACCUACUAGGGUUUCCAGUUUUCUAGAUGUUAUUCGCUUCACCUAGCACAGGGGACUUGGAUGGCACCACUAGUUUCAAGAAACAUUUUUCAGUGGGACCAUAGCAAAUGCCAUGAGAAAUAUGCUCUAAGAUGCUAAAGUAAUACAGAAUCUGGAUCUUCUUUUUUAUUCAAUUGAACAGAAUAUUUACUGAGCAUUGAAAGUUCUAGAUGCUGUACUCUUUUUUUGGGAAUGCAGAGUGCUAUCUAGUCUUCAUAGGGAGGCUGGUCUGACCAGUGACUUAAGGAGCUGCUAGCCAGGUGAUACACAGUGAGAGAGAUCCAGGAGAGGAACCAUUGGUCCAACUUGGCAGUGGUGGGCUGGGGCAGGGCUCCUGAGUUUCAGAGGUUGGGUGCCCAGGUGGGAAGGUGGAGAGGAUGCUGUUGGGACUCUAGGACUGACCGGUCUUCCCCGAUAUCUUUUACAG